rnacentral:rRNA from 1 species
GAUGAACGCUGGCGGCGUGCUUAACACAUGCAAGUCGAACGAAGCACUUUAUUUGAUUUCCUUCGGGACUGAUUAUUUUGUGACUGAGUGGCGGACGGGUGAGUAACGCGUGGGUAACCUGCCUUGUACAGGGGGAUAACAGUUGGAAACGGCUGCUAAUACCGCAUAAGCGCACGUCAUCGCAUGAUGCAGUGUGAAAAACUCCGGUGGUAUAAGAUGGACCCGCGUUGGAUUAGCUAGUUGGUGAGGUAACGGCCCACCAAGGCGACGAUCCAUAGCCGAGAUGAGAGGGUGACCGGCCACAUCGGCACUGAGCCACAGCCCAAACUCCUACGGGAGGCAGCAGUGGGGAAUAUUGCACAAUGGGCGAAAGGCUGAUGCAGCGACGACGCGUGAGCGAAGAAGUAUUUCGGUAUGUAAAGCUCUAUCAGCAGGGAAGAUAAUGACGGUACCUGACUAAGAAGCACCGGCUAAAUACGUG